AUUUACUGUACUUCAUAUGUAUCUGCUCAGUUCAUAGCCAGGUAUUUCUUUACUAUUCUGUACGGUUAUUCAUUUACCAUAUAUUUACUGUUCUUUCAUUAUUCUUGCCUCCAGUUGACCUAGUAGGAAGAUCGUGCUCAUCGUCGACCGUACCCACUGGGAACUACUGUUCAGUAAUUCUCACACCCUUUUAUGGUUUACUUUUCAGGGAUACGUAUACCGA
rnacentral:lncRNA from 1 species